AUCAACAGAAAGCAUAUAAGAAUUAUCUUUUGCAACAAAGUUUUAUUCUUCCCUUUGCCAUCCCUUCCCUUUGCCUUUAGAUUUUAAAUGAUUUUGAAAACAGAAAGCUCUAGGCUGGAAAGAGAGAGCAACAGUGAUUUCAUGAGAAGGAAAGUAAAAAGUGA
rnacentral:ribozyme from 14 species